GAGUUUGAUCCUGGCUCAGGAUGAACGCUAGCUACAGGCUUAACACAUGCAAGUCGAGGGGCAGCAUGACGAUAGCUUGCUAUUGUUGAUGGCGACCGGCGCACGGGUGAGUAACGCGUAUCCAACCUUCCCAUAGCUAGGGAAUAACCUUGCGAAAGUAAGACUAAUGCCCUAUAAUAUUCUUUGCAGACAUCUAAAGAGAAUUAAAGAUUUAUCGGCUAUGGAUGGGGAUGCGUCUGAUUAGGUUGUUGGCGGGGUAACGGCCCACCAAGCCCACGAUCAGUAGGGGUUCUGAGAGGAAGGUCCCCCACAUUGGAACUGAGACACGGUCCAAACUCCUACGGGAGGCAGCAGUGAGGAAUAUCGGUCAAUGGACGAAAGUCUGAACCAGCCAAGUAGCGUGCAGGAUGACGGCCCUAUGGGUUGUAAACUGCUUUUAUAUGGGAAUAAAGUGAGCGACGUGUCGUUUUUUGUAGGUACCAUAUGAAUAAGGACCGGCUAAUUCCGUGCCAGCAGCCGCGGUAAUACGGAAGGUCCAGGCGUUAUCCGGAUUUAUUGGGUUUAAAGGGAGCGUAGGCCGUUUUUUAAGCGUGUUGUGAAAUACUGUCGCUCAACGACAGAGGUGCAGCGCGAACUGGAGGACUUGAGUGCGCGGAAUGUAGGCGGAAUUCGUCGUGUAGCGGUGAAAUGCUUAGAUAUGACGAAGAACUCCGAUUGGGAAGGCAGCUUACAGUAGCGUAAGUGACGCUGAAGCUCGAAAGUGGGGUUAUCGAACAGGAUUAGAUACCCUGGUAGUCCGCACGGUAAACGAUGGAUGCUCGCUGGGUGCUUUUGGUACGCGGCCAAGCGAAAGCGUUAAGCAUCCCACCUGGGGAGUACGCCGGCAACGGUGAGACUCAAAGGAAUUGACGUGGGCCCGCACAAGCGGAGGAACAUGUGGUUUAAUUCGAUGAUACGCGAGGAACCUUACCCGGGCUUGAAUUGCAGAGGAAGGAUUUAGAGAUAAUGACGCCCUUCGGGGCCUCUGUGAAGGUGCUGCAUGGUUGUCGUCAGCUCGUGCCGUGAGGUGUCGGCUUAAGUGCCAUAACGAGCGCAACCCCUCUCCGUAGUUGCCAUCAGGUAGUGCUGGGCACUCUGCGGACACUGCCGCCGUAAGGUGUGAGGAAGGUGGGGAUGACGUCAAAUCAGCACGGCCCUUACGUCCGGGGCUACACACGUGUUACAAUGGGUCAUACAGAGUGUUGUGCGUAUGCAAAUACGUUAUAAUCAUUAAAACGAUCCUCAGUUCGGAUUGGGGUCUGCAACCCGACCCCAUGAAGCUGGAUUCGCUAGUAAUCGCGCAUCAGCCAUGGCGCGGUGAAUACGUUCCCGGGCGUGUACACACCGCCCGUC
rnacentral:rRNA from 1 species